GGGAGAGAAGGCAGGGCUGACUAUGGCCACUAGACAGGAAUCAGCCUUUCACUGGUCAUUUAAAGACUACUUCUCACUGAGAGGCAGAAGGAAUCAUUCCAGCCAUCAUUGUCUGGAUCCUCUGAACAACCUCCAGCAGCAUCAUGACCUUUACCAACAUCCGAGGUGAUUCUCAGCUCUAAGUAUUUUUUAUUUAUUUGAAUCUUCAGGAUAAAAGAGGGAAAGCUUUGGGGUUCUUCUCCAGGUUGACAUUCUGACUCCACCUCUUAACAGACAAGUGAUUUUGAGAAAAUUACUUCACAAGUCUUCAACCUCAGUUUCAUGGUUUUAAAACUAGAAGCAAUGCUACUACCUAGGGGAAAUUUGUUUUAACAAUUACAAGCAAAAAUAUGCACAAGGAACCUGGGACAGGUGCCGAGCACUCUUCACUCUGCAAUGAUCACCCAGAAGACAACAGAGUGAUGCUUCUCUCCACCUGCUGUAUGAGGACAGCCUGGGCAAUGGGGACAUCGGUAUGAGCUGUCUAUCAGUCCUAGCUCCCUCCAUCUGGACCCAAUGUAGAUUGCUGCUGCUUCAGCUGACCAGAUUCCUUUCGAUUAACACAGACUUUCUUGAGAUAUGUUAACAUACCCUUUGCAUCCCACUUAAGUUUGGAAGACAUUUCCUCUAUUAUAAAUGAUAUGAAAAUGUCUGAGAGUUUAGGUGCAUAUUUUGAAGUCUAACUCAAAACAGUGAUUGUAUUUUCCCUGUACACAAAUUCUUCAUGUACACCCAUUGGUGUUCUGCAGACAGCUUAUACUAGUUCAGGGGAGCUGCUUGCUAAAUAUUCAGAAAUUUUGUGAAUUGGCUGUGAAACAUAGUUGUUAUUAAAAGAUAAAUUACACAAACUUACAACUGAUGAAUCAUAUUAAAAACAAAGACAAUACUCAACUCAUGAUUUUCUGUCCUUUGACUGCAUUUCACAAAUGUCUGUGAUCUUGAGAUUGUUUAUAUCUAUUGUAACUGCAAGUGCUGUGCUACUGCAC
ensembl:lncRNA novel transcript, antisense to CNTNAP5